rnacentral:rRNA from 1 species
CGGGGUGAGUAACGCGUGGGUAACCUGCCUUGUACUGGGGGACAACAGUUGGAAACGACUGCUAAUACCGCAUAAGCGCACAGCUUCGCAUGAAGCAGUGUGAAAAACUCCGGUGGUACAAGAUGGACCCGCGUCUGAUUAGCUGGUUGGUGAGGUAACGGCCCACCAAGGCAACGAUCAGUAGCCGGCCUGAGAGGGUGAACGGCCACAUUGGGACUGAGACACGGCCCAA